rnacentral:rRNA from 1 species
GACGAACGCUGGCGGCGUGCUUAACACAUGCAAGUCGAACGGAAAGGCCCUGCUUUUGUGGGGUGCUCGAGUGGCGAACGGGUGAGUAACACGUGAUUAACCUGCCCUUGACUUUGGGAUAACUUCAGGAAACUGGGGCUAAUACCGGAUAGGAGCUCCUGCUGCAUGGUGGGGGUUGGAAAGUUUCGGCGGUUGGGGAUGGACUCGCGGCUUAUCAGCUUGCUGGUGGGGGAGUGGCUUACCAAGGCUUUGACGGGUAGCCGGCCUGAGAGGGUGACCGGCCACAUGGGGACUGAGAUACGGCCCAGACUCCUACGGGAGGCAGCAGUGGGGAAUAUUGCACAAGGGGCGGAAGCCUGAUGCAGCAACGCCGCGUGCGGGAUGACGGCCUUCGGGUUGUAAACCGCUUUCGCCUGUGACGAAGCGUGAGUGACGGUAAUGGGUAAAGAAGCACCGGCUAACUACGUG